CGAUUCUCAUCCCUACGCACAAGGGUAUUUAGAGGUUGCACAGGGGAGUUGAGAGGUUGCACAGGGGUGUUGAUAGGAUGCACAGGGGUGUUGGUAGGAUGCACAGGGGUAUUGAUAGGAUGCACAGGGAUGUUGCACAGGGGUAUUUAGAGGUUGCACAGGGGUAUUUAGAGGAUGCACAGGGAUGUUGAGAGGAUGCACAGGGGUGUUGCACAGGGGUCUUGAGAGGUUGUACUUUACAUAUAUAAUGAUUGCUGUCUAACUUGUACAUUAAUUACUUGGCACAUUUUAUACCAUAGCCCUUCGUACAGCAUCACUGUAUUUAUUUAUUACAUGUAUUUAGU
ensembl:lncRNA